GGCUUCGUAGCUCAGUCGGAUAGAGCGACUGCCUCCUAAGCAGUAGGCCGCGUGUUCGAUUCACGCCGGGGCCACCA
rnacentral:tRNA from 2 species